rnacentral:rRNA from 1 species
CGGGGGAGCAAGCGUUGUUCGGAUUUACUGGGCGUAAAGGGCGCGUAGGCGGCCAGCGCAAGUCAGUUGUGAAAUCUCCGAGCUUAACUCGGAAAGGUCAACUGAUACUGCGCGGCUAGAGUGCGGAAGGGGCAACUGGAAUUCUUGGUGUAGCGGUGAAAUGCGUAGAUAUCAAGAGGAACACCUGCGGCGAAGGCGGGUUGCUGGGCCGACACUGACGCUGAGGCGCGAAAGCCAGGGGAGCGAACGGGAUUAGAUACCCCGGUAGUCCUGGCCUUAAACGAUGAAUGCUUGGUGUCUGGGGUUACAUAGUCCCCGGGUGCCGUCGCUAACGCUUUAAGCAUUCCGCCUGGGGAGUACGGUCGCAAGACUG